rnacentral:rRNA from 1 species
UAGGGAAUCUUCCACAAUGGACGCAAGUCUGAUGGAGCAACGCCGCGUGAGUGAAGAAGGCUUUCGGGUCGUAAAACUCUGUUAUUGAAGAAGAACGUGUGUGACAGUAACUGGUCAUGCAGUGACGGUAUUCAAUCAGAAAGUCACGGCUAACUACGUGCCAGCAGCCGCGGUAAUACGUAGGUGGCAAGCGUUGUCCGGAUUUAUUGAGCGUAAAGCGAGUGCAGGCGGUCUUUUAAGUCUGAUGUGAAAGCCUUCGGCUUAACCGAAGAAGGGCAUCGGAAACUGGGAGACUUGAGUGCAGAAGAGGAGAGUGGAACUCCAUGUGUAGCGGUGAAAUGCGUAGAUAUAUGGAAGAACACCAGUGGCGAAGGCGGCUCUCUGGUCUGUAACUGACGCUGAGGCUCGAAAGCGUGGGUAGCAAACAGGAUUA